UACGUAGGGCGCAAGCGUUAUCCGGAAUUAUUGGGCGUAAAGAGCUCGUAGGCGGUUUGUCGCGUCUGCUGUGAAAACCGGAGGCUCAACCUCCGGCCUGCAGUGGGUACGGGCAAACUAGAGUGCGGUAGGGGAGAUUGGAAUUCCUGGUGUAGCGGUGGAAUGCGCAGAUAUCAGGAGGAACACCGAUGGCGAAGGCAGAUCUCUGGGCCGUAACUGACGCUGAGGAGCGAAAGCAUGGGGAGCGAACAGG
rnacentral:rRNA from 1 species